rnacentral:rRNA from 1 species
GACCCUACGGGGGGCAGCAGUGGGGAAUAUUGCACAAUGGGCGAAAGCCUGAUGCAGCAACGCCGCGUGAAGGAAGAAGGGUUUCGGCUCGUAAACUUCUAUCAACAGGGACGAAAGAAAUGACGGUACCUGAAUAAGAAGCCCCGGCUAACUACGUGCCAGCAGCCGCGGUAAUACGUAGGGGGCAAGCGUUAUCCGGAAUUACUGGGUGUAAAGGGUGAGUAGACGGAAUUGCAAGUCUGAUGUGAA